CAGGGGGUAUUUUAUUUAAAAUAUUAAUUUUGGGGAUUAAUGAAAUGGCUUCAAUGUCUUUCCUCUGA
rnacentral:tRNA from 1 species